rnacentral:rRNA from 1 species
UGGGGAAUAUUGGACAAUGGGCGAAAGCCUGAUCCAGCCAUGCCGCGUGUGUGAAGAAGGUCUUCGGAUUGUAAAGCACUUUAAGUUGGGAGGAAGGGCAGUAAGCGAAUACCUUGCUGUUUUGACGUUACCGACAGAAUAAGCACCGGCUAACUCUGUGCCAGCAGCCGCAGUAAUACAGAGGGUGCAAGCGUUAAUCGGAAUUACUGGGCGUAAAGCGCGCGUAGGUGGUUCGUUAAGUUGAAUGUGAAAGCCCCGGGCUCAACCUGGGAACUGCACCCAAAACUGGCGAGCUAGAGUAGGGCAGAGGGUGGUGGAAUUUCCUGGGUAGCGGUGAAAUGCGUAGAUAUAGGAAGGAACACCAGUGGCGAAGGCGACCACCUGGGCUCAUACUGACACUGAGGUGCGAAAGCGUGGGGAGCAAACAGG